UGUUAUCGACAUGUGAAUUCAUAGCAUGUCAGAAGGCAGACCCGGAGAACUGAAACAUCUUAGUACCCGGAGGAAGAGAAAGAAAAAUCGAUUCCCUGAGUAGCGGCGAGCGAAACGGGAAGAGCCCAAACCAACAAGCUUGCUUGUUGGGGUUGUAGGACACUCUAUACGGAGUUACAAAAGAACAUGUUAGACGAAUCAUCUGGAAAGAUGAAUCAAAGAAGGUAAUAAUCCUGUAGUCGAAAACAUAUUCUCUCUUGAGUGGAUCCUGAGUACGACGGAGCACGUGAAAUUCCGUCGGAAUCUGGGAGGACCAUCUCCUAAGGCUAAAUACUCUCUAGUGACCGAUAGUGAACCAGUACCG
rnacentral:rRNA from 1 species